rnacentral:lncRNA from 1 species
CAGUGAAAGGCAUGAGGCCCUGUACUUGGAUCCUCAAAACCUACAUAAAGUUGCAUACAAGACUGCACAUCUGUAAUCCCGGCAUUCCUACAGUGGGGGGGAAGCUGGAGUGCCAGCGUCCCUGGAAGCUCACAGGCAGCUAAGCUGUUCUAUGCUAUGGAAGAAGAAGCAGGAAGACUGUCAGAGCCAGAUGCAAUGCGUGGCUGCUACAAAGCAAUGUUUCCUGGGCAAUGCAUGCAUGAACUCACAACAGCUGUCACAACAUGAGCGAGGCCCGCACAGCACCAAGCUAGCCAAAAUUAGUAAGAGCUGAGGAGGAGAAGCACCGAGGAGGAGAAGCCCAUCAAGUCCUGCCUCUACCUAAAGAGCUAUUGGCAACUGUCAGUGACUGGGCAAGGAAUUGAUGUGCACUGAAAAUCUACAUAUUUUGGAAAGAUAAUUUAUUUGAUCCAGGAAGGAAAGAAAAAUCAAGGGAAGAGAGAUUUCACGAGUUUACACUUCAUUAUUCUUAGGCCUUAGGAAGAACUCUCAUAUAACAAAAAUGUGGUCUAGAGCUAUAUCAUACAGGCUCAUAAAAGUACAUUGCUCAUCAUUAGAGGCCUCCCUCCAACUGCAGGAUGACCCUCUCUGUUUCCCUCGAUUUUUUUUUUUUCUUUUUUACUACCUACAACAAAAGGAACCCCAGCAGAAGUCACGUAAAUGUUUGAAGUAUUUUGUUUGCUGAUUCUCAAGCCCAGAAAAAGGAAACUUUUAAACAACAGAAAAGAGAAAUCAUUCAGGGGGACCUUUCAGGCUUUGGUCUUUUAAGGUCCAUCCAGUAGAUUGCAGGGAGUCUCGGCACUGCAGGGGUUCUUCUGUAAUUAAGGAUGACUGACCACAAACUCACUAUGUACUGGAAGCUUAUCUUGAACUCUUAGAUCUUCCGGCUUCUACCUUCCACGGACUGCAAUUAUUGGCGUGUACCCCACCUGGGUUGGGAUGAAAUUACUUUCAGAUCAACCAAUA